CAAAAUUCUAAGGUUGGCUGAAAAGAUGCUUCUUGGUGAGAGGAUUCCUGGGAAGCACCUGGAGGCUGGAGCCCCUCUGGGAGAGCAGCCUUGACCUUCAGAAGUCAGGGUUCCCACGGUGGCACCUCUGUCCCAAGGAGGACAAAAGAGAUGGAGGACUUAUCUCUGAAGACCCUCCAGGUGCCAAGCCAGGCACAGGGUGAGGCCAUGCAAGGAAAGGUUAGUCCUGUUUAUCCCAAUAUGUGCCCUGUUUUAUGAAAACCCAUUCUGUGACAAAUUGACCUGGGCGGGGUAAUAUUAUAGUCACUAGACUCAGGGACGUCUCAUAUACUUAGAGGCAGACAAAACUGACUUAGCUGUGUGACCUGAGUGAGCUUCUCAAUUUCUCUGUGCCUCGCUUUCCUCAUUAAGGAAGGAGGUGCCAGGGAUAGGCACAUAACUAUGAAUAUCUUAAUACUCAGCCAGAAAGUAAUCCUUAAAAUGGUCAUCUGAAAUUUGUCACAAGUCCUAGGACUCGGGAAUAAACAUAGUGUAUCUAUUUAUCAUAGGAGAAACCCCAAGUAUCAUAAAUACCACAUACAUUCCACGUGUAAAAAUUACAGUUCUCCUGCAUCGUAAACUUGACUUUGAAAGUAGUAAGUUACUGCAGCAGAACUAUAGAAUUGCAGAGGAAGGAAGAACCAUAAAUAUGCUUUUUUUCUAGUCCCCAUUUGAUCUGGGAUCAUCGCAACGCUAUGACAGGGUGGUCCAGCCCCUACUUGAGCACCCCCAAGGGCCUUCUAUUCCACUUUAGGUUAAACUUUACUGUGGUUCCCCCUGCACCCCACGCUAUCCUGAAAGGAAGACAGAGAGUGUCCCAGUCACAGUCUAGCCAGGCCAGAGCUGGCAGGCCCUGGGGGAUCUCUCCCUUUAUAAUGCUCAGUGAGUGGCUUGACAAUGAUCCGACCUCUACAAGUCUAAACCUCCUCAGCUGUGGAGUGGGGAUCAAUAAAAACAGCGACCCAACACAUUGUUGUGAAGGCCAAAUAAGGUCGUCUAUGUUCCCUGUCAUUAUUUUUAUUAAUAGUAUUGUUAUUAUUAUUCCAGCCAAUGACCAAGUUCCCUCCCUUUCUCUCACCUGUUUGUUGUUGUUGUUGUUGUUGUUUUUCUAUUUGGGGGCAGCUGAUCUUGACCUUUUUGUUUGUUUGUUUUUUGUUUGUUUGUUGAGCCCAAGUUCAGGGCCUUCAACUCACACUUGUAAAAUUGUAACAUUACAUGUUAAUAUUCUAAACCACUUGUUUACCCUUUCAAAACCUUUGGAUCCCACUGCCCCAUCCGCUCCCCAUCCCAGCAGGCUCUGUGUAGCCCGCUGAUCCCAUUGGUGACUGAGUCACGCUGAUCUAGAUGGACCUGGGACAGAGCCCUGUGGCAUACCAAUGGACACCUCCCUCUGUGUCAAUGUUCCCCAAACUGUGUUCCUUGGACUUUUGCCUCCCCUGGGAUGUCACAUGUGUCUGGGAAUAAGGAGUUGGCAGUCAGAUGUGGGUGACACACAUCUGUUUCAGCAAAAACAGCAUCAGUGUGAAAAGACAACGCACCCUCUCACGAUCACUUGCACACAGCUGCUCACCUUCCAAAGGCACAAGUCCUUAAACCGGUUCUGUCUACUAGAUCAUUUUUAUAGAGUUCUAUCCUAGGAGCUCCCUGAACUCAUAAUCUCCAGUGACCCCCCACUUUCCUUCACGGCCUUCUUUUUUCCUAUGCCCUGCCCUGGCAAGAAGCCCGUGCAUAGCAGUCCUGAGACACUUCCUGGGGCUCUUGUCUGGCCCCCAGGAGCCAGCACGGUGGACAGCAGCAGCCAGUUUCAAUUCACCUCUGUGUGCUCCUAUCCAGACCCUGGGCACCAGCUCCAAGGGGCUGUCCCCCUCCCUCAACCACUCCUACACCCCCAUCUGAGCAGGGAGUACCCCCUCCUUCUCACCCCACCUGCCUCCAGAAAAGACUCUUUUCCUCAAAAAUGGACCUGCUUAGAACAUGAGGGACUGAGCAACCAGAAUAUUCUCUGCCUCUCCCCAUGGUGUCUGAAAGCCAGGGCCUCCCUCAGGCUGUCUGUCAACUGAAUCAAGGUUGCAAACAAAGGUCUGGCAGUCCCUGAGGGUGAGCUAGGCUGUCCUGCCUGGGUGACUCUCCAUCUGUCCCUACAGGGACCCAAUCUGUCCUGCCACUCCAAAAGCCAGGAGGGAGCUCCCAUCCACAGCCCUCAACCACGAACCCUUCCACAAUCCCCCUUUCCUUCUUAAAGAACACUUUUUUGAAAAUUAGACCCAAGUCUCCCAAAAAUAUCUGUUCCAGAAACUGAAUAGUCACUUUGGCUCUGACCCCUUGUGUGCCCUGAAGAUGCUUGUCAGUUCUCACUUCUGGCCACUAGAUGGCGAUGUCAGGAACCAUUUGCUUUUCCAAAGAAAACUUCUAUGUGGUUCCUAGUUAAACCCAAAGGAAGGGAUGAGAGGAAGGGGAGAUGGAAAAGCAGAAUUCCUCCCUCUACCUGGCUGUAUCUCCUGAGCAUAUCCUUUAGUGUCCCAGUGCUUCUGCACCUCCACAUUUUGAUAAUCGGUGACACCUGCCUCCUAAAGCACAGACUGAAGCCUGGGGUGCACAAACAGGGAAGUCCAGCCCCGACCCCUGCCAAUUAAAUCAGAACCUCUAGAUGUGACUUCUCCUCUUCUAAUCCUCAGGGAUGGUCAGGCAGAGUUGGGGCUCUGAUGUACAACCCGGGGUGACCUUUAUAACACAGAUCUCUGGGCUUCCCCACAGAGUUGCUGGUUCAGCACCUCCAGGUGGGACUGCAGGAUCUGCUAAUGCUACUGAUCAAGCCACACUUGGGGAAGCUGUCCUGGAGAGAAGGGGGAUGGGUGAACUGCCGCCCAUCAAAAGUGAAGCAGAAGCCAUUGGGCCUGGCCCAAAGGAGCCGAGUGGAUUUUUUGUUUUUCAGUCCUUCAAUUCUCCAACGUCAUCUGGACAACCCUCAGAUUAGGCCAAGGCUUCUCAGGUUUGAUAGUGGUGAGGUUCAGAACACACAAUCCCAAAUACAACGUCUUGGCAUUUGAGAAAUCAGCAGAAGCAGGAAGGUCCCUCUCUGACCUUCUCCCACCUGAUAUUGGACAAAUUAUAUAUCGUUAUAUUGUGUGCAUGUACAAACAUGUAACCACAAAUCCUGUCACUAUGUACAACUCUAAUGCACCAAUAAAAAAAAAACAUGUGGGGGAGAAAUCCCCUGCUUAUCCCAGAGAAAAAGAACAUCAUAUCUCUGGAGACACAGGGACCCCAAAGUGUCUGAACACACAGGCAUUGCUAAGUCCCUUUAUUUUAUGGCCUUUAGACUGUACCUCCCUUGACCAAUCAUGGCUCCCCACAGAUGUCUACUCUCCAUCAAACCUAAGUAUAAAUUACACAGAUUUCCCUGUUUCUUGGGGUCUUCAUUUCUGAAGGCUCCUGCUUCGCAUUAAAG
rnacentral:lncRNA from 1 species